rnacentral:misc_RNA from 1 species
CUUCAGGCUCCAUCCCUCUCCCCCUUUGUGAUUUCUCUUGAAUCUUACAAUGGCUACUGGAAAUGCUUACCUGACUACACCCACGAAAACCCCAUCAUCGACGUCCUCUUCGUCCCUCACAAGGAAACAACAGAACCCAAACUCCACCACCACCACCACCUCCUCUUCCAGCUCCAGAUUCGAGGCCUACAAUCGCUUGCAAGCGGCCGCCGUAGCCUUCGGCGAGAAACUCCCUAUCCCUGAGAUCGUAGCACUUGGUGGACAAUCCGAUGGCAAGAGCUCGCUUCUCGAAGCACUACUGGGAUUCCGCUUCAAUGUCUGUGAGGUCGAGAUAGGCACCCGCAGGCCCCUCAUUCUCCAGAUGGUCCAUGAUCCUAAUGCUCCGGAGCCCCGUUGUCGUUUUCAGGAAGAGGAUUCUAAGGAAUAUGGGAGCCCUGUUGUGUCAGCCACAACAAUUGCAGAUAUUAUAAGAUCACGUACAGAGGCGCUUUGAAAAGAACUAAAGCUGCAGUUUCUUCUAAGUUGUGAUGAGAGCUGAAUAUGCACAUUGUCCUAACCUAACCAUUAUUGAUACCCCGGGCUUUGUUCUUAAGGCAAAGAAGGGAGAACCAGAGAAAACUCCAGAAGCAAUUCUUUCAAUGGUGAAGUCAUUGGCUAGCCCACCCCACCGCAUUCUCUUGUUCCUUCAACAAAGUAGUUUGGAAUGGUGUUCAUCCCUGUGGUUGGAUGCAAUUAGGGAGAUUGACCCGACUUUCAGAAGGACUAUAAUAGUUGUCUCCAAAUUUGACAAUCGGCUCAAGGGAUCUUUGAUUGAUGGAGCGGCAGAUCCUUCACCAGAGCAGUGGGGGAAAACAACAGAAGAGGAGCGGUCAGAGAUUGGUAUUGGGAGUUGGCCAGGUGUUACUGUCAUCAUAAAACCUCCUAAUGCUACUCUUAGGCUCUAUGGAGGGGCUGCUUUUGAAAGAGUGAUACAUGAGUUCAGGUGUGCUGCAUAUUCCAUUGAAUGCCCCCCAGUGUCAAGGGAGAAGGUGGCAAAUAUAUUGCUUGCCCAUGCUGGCCGAGGAGGGGGCAGAGGUGUAACAGAAGCUUCUGCAGAGAUUGCCCGUGCUGCUGCCCGGUCAUGGCUUGCUCCUCUUCUUGACACUGCUUGUGAUAGGCUUGCCUUUGUUUUGGGGAAUCUCUUUGAUCUUGCUCUGGAAAGAAAUCGUGUUCGUGACUCAGAAUGUGAGAGGCUGUUGUCUUCGCUGUACUAGACUAAGUUGUUUGAUACAUUUUUGUUUUCUUUUGCAAACCUAUGAAGGGACAAGUUAUGGUAGUUUCCUGUUAUGAAUAGUGCAUGCGAUGCUUAUUGGACAAUGAAUAAUCAUGUAGGGAGAACAUCAUUAGCCAAAUGUAUGUGUCUUACUGUUAGCGUGUAGAACUUCUUUGACUGUACAUCACAUGAGAUCCUACAACAACAGUGAAUCUUUAGUUAUUUCCCUCUCAUUGUCUCUAUAUUCUAUUCACGUUCAAAUCCUGAGAUAUCGAUGACAGCAUCUAAGCAGUUUGUAUUGACUGCAACAUUUUUCUCUUUUCUGAUCUUUUUGUUAGUUUUCUUAAUGCUAAUUGUUUCCAAAUGAUUUGCAAACUGUGGGUUGCUUUUCCAAUUGUGCAGAUGCAAAGCAAAGUGGAAAUAUGGAUGGAUAUGUUGGGUUUUAUGCUGCCUUAAGGCAUGCUUACAAUCGAUUCAUAAAGGAUCUGGCCAAACAAUGCAAGCAAUUAGUUAGACAUCAUCUUGAUUCAGUUACCAGCCCAUAUUCUCAGGUUUGUUAUGAGAAUGAAUUUCAAGGAGGCUUUGGCUCAAGUGGGACAUCUAUUUUUAAAUUGAACCAAGCAUCUGCUGGUUCAUUUUAUUUUGAGCUAUCAGAUGCCUGGGAAUCAUCUCAUGAUGAAACAAUGAGAGACCAAGAGAACAUACCUCCAGAGAAGAAUGUACAGCAAACCACUCCAGGAAAAGGAGCAGAAGCUAGAGAAGCUCUCAAAGAAAGCCAAAUGACUGUGCCUGAGACUCCAUCUCCUGACCAACCAUGUGAUGUUGCAUAUGGUGGGGCGAAGAAGGAGCAUGGAAACUGCAUUGAAAUUGGACCAAGAAAGCGGAUUUCAAGAAUGACAGGAAAUAGUAAUGAACUUUUAAGAGUUCAAAAUGGUGGCAGUCUUCUAUUUGGAAAUGUGGAUAGUGGUUCAAGAUCGCGCUCAGCUUACUCAGAAAUUUGCUCAUCUGCUGCACAGCAUUUUGCACGGAUACGUGAAGUUCUUGUUGAGAGAAGUGUGAUGUCAACCUUGAACUCCGGAUUUCUGACCCCCUGCCGGGAUCGGCUAGUUGUGGCACUUGGGUUGGAUUUGUUUGCUGUGAGUGAUGAGAAAUUUUUGGACAUGUUUGUUGCACCUGGUGCCAUUGAUGUGCUACAGAAUGAGCGACAAUCUCUUCAGAAGCGUCAGAAAAUACUCCAGUCCUGCUUGAACGAGUUCAAAAGUGUCGCUCGUGCUCUGUGAUGGCAGCCUAGUUCCACAUCUAGCAAAUGUUUCACUUCCUAGUGAACAUGCAAAGUUCACACACCAGGGCCCUACUUAUUAAUCUCUAAGCUUUGUUAUAGAUGGAACCAUUUCAUUAUUUGAUAACCGAGUUAUCAUUCCUGUAAUACUUGCAAAAAUUUUGGUUCCUGCUAUUGUGGACACUGUACAGAAUAUGGUUUCUAUGAUGCUCAAUUUAAAUUGAUGCGUCAAAUAUCAACUGGGAAACUGCCAAUUUAUGUUCUUUUCCUGAAAUCAUUUUGCCCCCUUCCAGGCUACCGCUUCUAGCGCAAAUAUCAAAGUCAGGACCUUUGUUCGAGUAAAGCC